AGACAGAGCACAGCAGUGCCCCAGUGAAUCUGGCCAGGGAUGUGAAGCACUCCUGGGUUCCCUGGGUUCCAGCAGGAGCCCUUGUGCUGUGCUGCCCAGGCGCUCAGAGCCGUCUACCAGCUCCACCCUUCCUCCCGCCUGCAAUUAGCACUUGCGGCGCUGCAAAGGGAGAUGAGAUUCUCUCGCUGUCCUCCCUCAGAGCUCGCUCGCACCUUCCCCACCGGGUGGGAACAUGUGCUGCGGGUUAGGAAACAUUCUCAUCGUGGAAUCGCAUUUGCAGCAAUCCUACCCCCCGCCGCCUGCUCGCUUCUGGCUAUCAGGCUCUGCUGCAGCUCGUGGUGGUGGUGAUGGACACGUGAACAGCAGAGCUCAGCACAGCUCCUGGUUCAGCAGAGCCUCAGAUCUCCAGGAUUCUCUUCAUUCCUCCUGGAAAUGUGUGAGCACAAACUGGGCCCAGUUUGUUCCACCCAGGGUAACUGGAGCUGGUUAUCCAGACUGAAGGUUAAGAAGACUGAAUAUGGUGGGUUUGUCCCAAAAUGAGCUCUAUUUACUUACCUGGAGGUGGGAUGACAUGGAAAUCAGCAAUGACAGCUGUAUUUCACAUCUGCAGUUCAGCUCUACCAUCAUUGCCAGCAGUUGGGGUGUUACCAGGGAGCAGCAGCUUCCAUCUCAGACAUGCUUGGAAUGACAGAUCCUGGAGAUGGCCACAGCUGGACCCCAGCCAGAGGUGAAUGCUGGCAGCAGUGCCACUGAUGGCCUCCUGCAGUGAAUGAAAUGAUGACCAGCAGUGCCCAGGCUGAGCUGACCCAACCUGUCCCCAGCCCCUCCACCAAACUUACCUGGGAUGAAAGGCAUGGAAUGACAGGCUCAGAGGGGAAUGACAGGCACAGAGUGCCAGAGCUGGCACAGAGGCCUCUCCUGCAGGCAUCUUGCUGGCUGUUUUAAGGUCUUCUGCCUCUAAGUGGCACCACGCUGGGUGAUUGAACACUUGCUGGAAUCUGUUCUACCUUUCAUUGUAAUGAUUCCUUACAGAACUCCGACUUUCCCAACUCUGAACUUUCAGGAGUACUGCCUGGAUGUCAGAGCCCUUUUGUCAGAAAGACCAGAGCCUUCUGCAGUGAUGGGCCCAGUACUGCAGAAUCCCUUUGGAAAGCCGCAGCUCUUAACCCUUCCCUGGGAAAGUCUGAAGCGGAGUUUUUUGAGAAGGCUGUCACAUCCCUGGGAUUUGUAAUGGCAGGGAUUGAAAAGAGAGCCAGGCAGAUCUUCCCUGGUGUGAACUGCCUGAGGGUCACACUGAAUUGUACCCAGCCAUGACCUGGCUUACGGUUUUGUAUUUGCUUAAAAUAAUGAGGCCCAGACUGUCUCACAUGCAGCUUCUGCUCAGAAAGCAGGAAACAAUUUGGGAGGGGGAAAGGUGUCCCAGAAAGGUGGAGUCCAACCUACAAACACACACACACUUAGCCUGGGAGCCCUGAAAUGCUGGAGCAAACUGCACUCCUCAAAGCAGACAUGCAGCACUGUGGUGGUGUUUGCAGGGGCCUUAGGAUGAGGGAAGAGAUUUAUUUAUUGAUUUAUUA